GUUGGGGGGGGGAUGGGGGAGGAACGGCCCUAAUAGUCCCAUAGGGCACUUAGGGGGGCCUGGAGGGCACUUGGGGGUCCCAGGGGGCACUUGGGGGUCCAAGGGGGAACUUGGGGGUCUCAUUGGGCACUUGGGGGUCUCAGAGGGCAUUUGGGGGUCCCAGGGGGCACUUUGGGGUCCCAGGGGGCACUUGGGGGUCCCGGAGGGCACUUGGGGGUCCCAGAGGGCAUUUGGGGGUCCCAGAGGGCACUUGGGGGUCCCAAGGGGCACUUGGGGGUCCAAGGGGGCAGUUGGGGGUCCCAGAGGGCACUUGGGGGUCCCAGGGGGCACUUGGGGGUCCCAGGGGGCACUUGGGGAGCCCAGGGGGCACUUGGGGGUCUCAGAGGGCAGUUGGGGGUCCUGGAAGGCACUUUGGGGUCUCAGAGGGCACUUGGGGGUCCCAGGGGGCACUUGGGGGUCCAUGGGGGCACUUGGGGGUCUCAGAGGGCAUUUGGGGGUCCCAGGGGGCACUUGGGGGUCCUGGAGGGCACUUGGGGGUCCCAUGGGGCACUUGGGGGUCGCAAAGGGUACACAGGGGGUCUCAGAUGGCACUUAGGGGCUCCAAGGGUGCACUUGGGGGUCUCAGUGGGCACCUGUGGGUCCAAGGGGGCAACUGGGGGGCCCAAAGGGUACACAGGGGGUCCUGGAGGGCACUUGGGGGUCCCAGAGGGCACAUAGGGGUCCCAGAGGGCACUUUGGGGUCUCAGAUGGCACUUGGGGGUCUCAGAUGGCACUUGGGGGUCUCAGAG
ensembl:lncRNA